rnacentral:rRNA from 2 species
UUGUACUUUUAAAUAAGUAAGAGUUUAUGGUGGAUGCCUUGGGUCUGGAAGUCGAUGAAGGACGUGAUUACCUGCGAUAAGCCUCGUGGAGCUGGAUAUGAGCUACGAAACGGGGAUUUCCGAAUGGGGAAACCUAACCGAAGUAAUGUUCGGUUGCCUUGUAAUGAAUAAAAUAGUUACUUGAGCGAGACACGUUGUGAACUGAAACAUCUUAGUAGCAACAGGAAGAGAAAAUAAAUAAUGAUUCUAUCAGUAGCGGCGAGCGAACGUAGAAGAGCCCAAACCAACGAAUGUUGGGGUUGUAGGACAAUCUACAUGAAGUUACAAAUCUAUAUCAUAGCAGAAAGAGUUGGGAAACUCUGGCAUAGAAAGUGAAACCCUUGUAUGCGAAAUGGUAUGGACUUCUGAUUGUAUCCUGAGUAGGGCGGGGCACGUGAAACCCUGUCUGAAUCUGCCGGGACCAUCCGGUAAGGCUAAAUACUAACCAGACACCGAUAGUGAACUAGUACCGUGAGGGAAAGGUGAAAAGAACCCCGGGAGGGGAGUGAAAUAGAUUCUGAAACCAUUUACUUACAAUUAGUCAGAGCCCGUUAAUGGGUGAUGGCGUACAUCUUGCAGUAUGGACCGGCGAGUUAUGUUAACAUGCGAGGUUAAGUGGAAAAAAACGGAGCCGCAGAGAAAUCGAGUCUUAAUAGGGCGUUUAGUAUGUUGAUAUAUACCCGAAACCAUGUGAUCUAUUCAUGAGCAGACUGAAGCUUGGCUAACCCCAAGUGGAGGGUCGAACCGUAGUACGCUGAAAAGUGCCCGGAUGACUUGUGAAUAGUGGAGAAAUUCCAAUCGAACUUGGAGAUAGCUGGUUCUCCUCGAAAUAGCUUUAGGGCUAGCGUGUGAUGUUAAACUUUGGUGGUAGAGCACUGAAUAUGGAAUGGCCGCGCCUAGCGGUACUGACUAUAAUCAAACUCCGAAUACCAUUGUGUAUUAUCAUGCAGUCGGAACCGGGGUGCUAACGUCCCGGCUCGCGAGGGAAACAACCCAGAUCGUCAGCUAAGGUCCCAAAAUCGUGUUAAGUCAGAAAGGUUGUGAGAUUUCAUAAACAACUAGGAGGUUGGCUUAGAAGCAGCCAUCCUUUAAAGAGUGCGUAAUAGCUCACUAGUCAAGAGAUCUUGCGCCAAUAAUGUAACGGGAGUCAAACACGAUACCGAAGCUACGGGUACAUCUGUACGUUAGAGGAGCGUUCCUAGGGCGGUGAAGCUAAACCGUGAGGAUUAGUGGAGCGUUAGGAAGUGAGAAUGCCGGUAUGAGUAACGAUUCGUGGUGAGAAUCCACGACGCCUAUUGGGAAAGGUUUCCUGGGGAAGGUUCGUCCACCCAGGGUUAGUCAGGACCUAAGGAGAGGCUGAAAAGCGUAUCCGAUGGAUAACAGGUUAAUAUUCCUGUACUAUCUAUAAUUAGUGAUGGAAUGACGGAGAAGGAUAACAAUACCCAUUAUUGGAUUUGGGGGUAAGCAACGACUGGUCAAUGUAGUUAAAUGCGCAUUGUAUAACCGGGAUUUGUGAUGCAUAGUGAUUUAUUUCACGAAUUUUGUGAUUCCAUGCUUCCAAGAAAAGUUUCUAAGCGUUAUAAAAUUAUAGGUACCUGUACCGAGAACGGACACACGUUCCCAAGAUGAGUAUUCUAAGGCGAGCGAGAAAACCAAUGUUAAGGAACUCUGCAAAUUGACCCCGUAAGUUCGCGAGAAGGGGCGCCCAUUUUGAUGGGCCACAGUAAAUUUUGAGGGGCAACUGUUUAUCAAAAACACAGCUCUCUGCUAAACCGCAAGGUGAUGUAUAGGGGGUGAAGCCUGCCCAGUGCCCGAAGGUUAAAUGGAUGCGUUAGCUUAUGCGAAGCGUUGAAAUGAAGCCCGGGUGAACGGCGGCCGUAACUAUAACGGUCCUAAGGUAGCGAAAUUCCUUGUCGGCUAAAUACUGACCUGCACGAAAGGCGCAAUGAUCUCUCAACUGUCUCAACAUUGGACUCGGUGAAAUUAUGGUCCCAGUGAAAACGCUGGGUACCCGCAUCAAGACGAAAAGACCCCAUGGAGCUUUACUACAACUUCGUAUUGGAACUUGGCCUAACAUGUGUAGGAUAGGUGGGAGACUAUGAGAUUAUGACGCUAGUCAUAAAGGAGUCAACCUUGAAAUACCACCCUUGGUAUGUUGAGUUUCUAACUUGCCGCCGUUAUCCGGUGGGAGGACAGUGCGUGGUGGGUAGUUUGACUGGGGCGGUCGCCUCCUAAAAGGUAACGGAGGCGUUCAAAGGUACACUCAAUACGGUCAGAAACCGUAUGCAGAGCGCAAAGGUAGAAGUGUGCUUGACUGCGAGACCUACAAGUCGAGCAGGUGCGAAAGCAGGACUUAGUGAUCCGGCUGUACGUCAUGGAACGGCAGUCGCUCAACGGAUAAAAGUUACCCUGGGGAUAACAGGCUUAUCUUGCCCAAGAGAUCACAUCGACGGCAAGGUUUGGCACCUCGAUGUCGGCUCAUCGCAUCCUGGAGCUGGAGUCGGUUCCAAGGGUUUGGCUGUUCGCCAAUUAAAGCGGUACGCGAGCUGGGUUCAGAACGUCGUGAGACAGUUCGGUCCCUAUCUGAUGUGGGCGUUGGAAUAUUGAUGAGAGCUGCUCUUAGUACGAGAGGACCGGAGUGGACACACCGCUGGUGUUCCUGUUGUUUCGCCAGAAGCAUAGCAGGGUAGCUAAGUGUGGAAAGGAUAACCGCUGAAAGCAUCUAAGUGGGAAGCCUCCUCAGAGAUAAGUAUUCCCUUGAAAUUCCUUGUAGACUACGAGGUUGAUAGGAUGGAAGUGUACGUGUAGUAAUACAUUCAGCUGACCAUUACUAAUAAAUUGAUAGGUUUAAAAGUAA